rnacentral:rRNA from 1 species
UACGUGAGCCCCGAGCGUUAUCCGGAAUUACUGGGCGUAAAGUGUGCGUAGGCGGUCAUGUUAGUCUUCUGUUAAAUCCACCGGCUCAACCGGUGAACCCCAGAGGAAACGGUAUGACUUGAGUGUGUGAGAGGUUUGCGGAACUUAUGGUGUAGGGGUGAAAUCCGUUGAUAUCAUAGGGAACACCAAAUGCGAAGGCAGCCCCCUGGGUCGACACUGACGCUCAUGCGCGAAAGCGUGGGGAGCAAACAGG